rnacentral:rRNA from 1 species
CUCCAGACUCCUACGGGAGGCAGCAGUGGGGAAUAUUGCACAAUGGGGGAAACCCUGAUGCAGCGACGCCGCGUGAGCGAUGAAGUAUUUCGGUAUGUAAAGCUCUAUCAGCAGGGAAGAAAAUGACGGUACCUGACUAAGAAGCCCCGGCUAACUACGUGCCAGCAGCCGCGGUAAUACGUAGGGGGCAAGCGUUAUCCGGAUUUACUGGGUGUAAAGGGAGCGUAGACGGCUGUGCAAGCCAGAUGUGAAAGCCCGGGGCUCAACCCCGGGACUGCAUUUGGAACUGUGUGGCUGGAGUGUCGGAGAGGCAGGCGGAAUUCCUAGUGUAGCGGUGAAAUGCGUAGAUAUUAGGAGGAACACCAGUGGCGAAGGCGGCCUGCUGGACGAUGACUGACGUUGAGGCUCGAAAGCGUGGGGAGCAAACAGGAUUAGAUACCCGGGUAUC